UGGGGAAUAUUGGACAAUGGGCGCAAGCCUGAUCCAGCCAUGCCGCGUGAGUGAUGAAGGCCUUCGGGUUGUAAAGCUCUUUCGGCGGGGACGCGGUACCCGCAGAAGAAGCCCCGGCUAACUUCGUGCCAGCAGCCGCGGUAAUACGAAGGGGGCUAGCGUUGUUCGGAUUCACUGGGCGUAAAGCGCACGUAGGCGGACCGUUAAGUCGGGGUGAAAUCCUGGGGCUCAACCCCAGAACUGCCUUCGAUACUGCGAUCUAGAGUUGGGAGAGGUUGGUGGAACUCCGAGUGUAGAGGUGAAAUUCGUAGAUAUUCGGAAGAACACCAGUGGCGAAGGCGGCCAACUGGCCCAUACUGACGCUGAGGUGCGAAAGCGUGGGGAGCAAACAGGAUUAGAUACCCUUGUAGU
rnacentral:rRNA from 1 species